CUUGAGUAAAACAAAAGAGUUUCCCGCACGCUGGUUCGGUCCAAGCUGUGGGCGUGGCUUGGGGGCCGGGGCUGUGUCUGGGGAUCGCGUUCCUCGGGCCCAGGGUGGGCGUGGCCAGGCAGGAGGGGGCGGAGCCCAGACUCCCCAUUCCCCCGUCUCUGUGUGUGUCUCACUCCUGUGCUGGUGAGUGUGUUUCCCCUUCUUUGUUCCCCAGUCUUUGUUAUUAGCCAUGCCGAGCCUGCUGCUCUCAGGGAUGAUGGAGAGGAAUGGGACGGUGCAGCUGAUGGCAGAUCUGGCCGGGAAGGAGCGGGUGGUGCUGGAGGAUGAGCGGGCUCUGCAGAUCGCGCUGGACCAACUGUGUCUGCUGGGACUGGGGGAGACCGAGGAGGAGAACAAUAACAACAGUAACAGUAACAGCAGCAACACCGGCAGCAGCACCGGCAGCAACGGCUCCGGACACCCCCACAAGGGCGAGACCAAGUUGUGUUCCCUGUACAAAGAGGCAGAGCUCCGGCUCAAGACUUGUAACACUACCGAGUGUGUCCCGGUGCCCAGCUCCGAGCACGUGGCCGAGAUUGUGGGGAGACAAGGUUGCAAGAUCAAAGCACUACGAGCCAAAACUAACACCUACAUCAAGACGCCGGUACGAGGUGAAGAGCCAGUGUUCAUGGUGACGGGUCGCAGAGAGGACGUGGCCAUGGCUCGGCGGGAGAUUAUUUCCGCCGCUGAGCACUUCUCUAUGAUCCGAGCAUCUCGUAACAAGGCCGGCACAGCAUUCGGCAGCGCCCCUACCCUUCCCGGGCAAGUCACCAUCCGUGUACGAGUCCCUUACAGGGUGGUUGGCCUAGUGGUGGGACCCAAAGGAGCCACAAUCAAAAGGAUUCAGCAGCAGACAAAUACUUAUAUAAUCACCCCAAGUCGGGACAGGGACCCCGUGUUUGAGAUCACAGGGGCCCCCGGGAAUGUGGAGCGGGCGAGGGAAGAGAUAGAGACCCACAUCGCAGUGCGCACUGGUAAAAUUCUAGAAUACAACAAUGAGAAUGACUUCUUGUCUAGCAGCCCAGACUCUGGAAUGGAAAGUCGGUACCCGGAGAACUGGAGGGUGCAUGGAACUGCUACUGGGUGCAAGCCCCUGUCCACCUUUCGCCAAAACAGCCUGGGCUGCAUCGGAGAUUGCCCACCAGAGCCCGUGUACGAGACCCCGAGGCUAAAUGAUCAAAAUGAUUUCAACUACGGCUAUUUGUUCCCCAACUACAAGCAAGAGGUAUACUACGGUGUGGCAGAGUCUGGGGGACCGAUGUGGGGGGGACAGGAGAACACCAACCCUGCCCCUGGUAUCUUUACAAAGCAGCAACGUUCUGGGAGCAGCGGCAGUGUGCAGACCACCACCACCCAGCGUUCACCAGAAAACAGCCUUAGCACCCUGCAAAGAAGAAGCCAAGGGGAAGCUCUGCCCGGCUUCACCAAACUCGCCGCCACCCGGACCUCUAUCUCUGGAAGCCGGGAGUGCAUGGUGUGUUUUGAGAGUGAGGUCACGGCUGCACUGGUGCCCUGUGGGCACAACCUCUUCUGCAUGGAAUGUGCCGUGCGCAUCUGUGAAAGGAACGAGCCUGAAUGUCCAGUUUGCCACUCGUCGGCAACUCAGGCCAUCCGAAUAUUUUCUUAAAGAGAGACACAGUGGGUGAGGGGGUGGGAGAGGGUGGGAAAAUGUGGACUCUUGGUGCAUAGAGGUCAAAAGACAAUAUCUCAAAAUUCCUCAAAAAACAAGGAAGGAUUGCCCCCUUCUGAGGGAAAGUCUUGCAGACAGAACCUUUAUUUUGGCAAGGCCAUUGGGGGGGAGGUACGAAAGACUCAAACACACAGUUGUUUACUGGAUAUUUAGAGGACUCCACUUUACCCGCUCUUAUUUUGCGGUAUUGCCACCCAUUGAUCUGGAUAUCGAUGUCUUCAAACCAGGUCAUUGAUAAAAAAAAAGUGCUUUUCAAGAAUAUGUUUAGGCAAGUUUAUCGAAGCAUGGGAAGAAUCGAGAUCAGGGAAGAACCAAGGAGGAUGGGUUUGCUCUUCGGAUAUUGGAAAGAGUCGAGUCGCUCCAGCCGCUCCAACGUUUUAGUAGCUCCCAAACAGCCCUCUGUGUUUUUGUAUGUUUUUUCUGUUACGGUUGUUGGUUUCGUCGACGACGUUUUACAAGGGAAAGAGUCAAAUUUAAAAAAGUUCCGAAUUGGUUGCAGUUUCACUCAAAAUCAACAAAUUUUAGAGGUUCCUGUAGACAAAUGCUUAAAGUGAGGCCAGCUUUUGCCUUGUUCCGGUCACAUUUCUUGGUGCACAGUUGGAGAUAAGCCCCUCUCUGAAAGAUGAGAGGGUAAGAAGGCAGAAGGGCUAUAUCAAAGGAUAUUAUCUGCCUCUACUGAUGGCAACAUGGUGGGCACUCAGGGUUCAAUUCAGGUCUCUCAGCGCUGGCAUCAGCCGGCCUCAUCUUCCUCAUCACUACCUGGCUAAUGGAAUCUGUUUUUCAUCAAUAAUUGCAAAAAAAAAAAAAAAGAAUAAUAAUAAUAAAACACAAACUGUUUAUCAAUCUCUGGGAACCUUCAACAUGAGGACACAACGAUUACCUCAAACUCAACUUACAAAGCAGCUAAAUCAACUGUGCGCAGUUACAAUGUCACGUGCUGUAAUGUUUCACAUUCAAACAAAAUCCUGAUGGAUGUUAGGACCGCAAUGGAAAAAAAAAUCACAAUAAUCAGGACUUUGUGCAUGUAGGAAUUGUUUGGUUAUUUUUUAUUUUUUACGUGGCUCGGACUUGAUUUUACUGUGCGCUGCAGUGGGGGGCACCCUUGCUUGACUUCCUCCAGAACCAACUGAUUGCAUUUUUUUGGGGGUGGGGGAUGCUGACCAUGCUGUCAAUGUUCCACAAAAAAACAAUUAAAAAUAUGAAAAUUAUUUUGCUUCCUGCUAAGCUGGACCAGAACAUUUUACUAGGGAAAAAAAACAAAAAUGUUGAAAAAUGCAGAUGUGCUGGACCAAAGUUACACACUCUAGGAAAUGUCUAGUGGGCAUCGGGUUCACUAAUCUGCCCUUGUGAAGAUAUUUCAGAACAUUGUGUUGAGUUUCCUCAUCCAAUACUGAACACGACAUGAGGAGCUGUCUGACCAGGAAUUUGGGAUAUUUCAAGAUCGUUCCAUUUACAUAAUUAACCCUCAUUUAUUCCAAUUGGGGGAAAAAGGUUUUUUUGGUUUUUUUUUACAUUUUAAUUUAUUUCAUUAUGUUGGUGCUUCCUGAAUAUUUAAAUUUAACUCUCUGGCCAAAUUAUUUUGAAAUCCCUUAUGAAAUAACAUAAAAAUCGAGGAAUAUCGAUUGGGUUGGGUGGGAGGGUUUCAUCGAAUAUCCCGUUCCCUGGUUCAAUAUGGAGACUAUGGUCCAUUUGCUGGACUGAGAGACAUGUUAAUCGCAGCCUUAUUGUUGCCAUUUUUGAAGGUGGGCUCCGUGAUCUCCAUCCCUACCAGAAGGCCUUGUUCCCCUCAGGACAAUGGCUUCUUUGAUUUUCUGGAAAGAAGGAGCCCAUCUUGAAUGCACCUUGCCCAAUCCUGCUGCCCUAGCCAGUGAAUAAUGGAGGCCCAGCUAUGACUCCCACUAUUCUUCAAAAGCUAUUCUUAACCAGGGGGCUCCCUUGUUGCUUUUUAGAGGGAACACUUGGAAAUAUUUUGGAAGGGUGGCGGGCUGAACAGUUCGGCCAGAAUUUUAGAAUGCCUUUAUUUUAUUGUCAUAGUUUCAAACUAUGUAGCAUCCGUUGUUACAGUUUAGCAGUAUUUGAGUUUCAUUUUAUUUUAGUUUUUAUUUAAAUAUUUUGUUUUAUACUAAAAUGUAGCGAUUUACUUGAGAAGAAGGGACCUUAAGUUAAAAAAAAAAAAAAUCAAGUCAAAUUUUGGCGGGCUGCUUACACAGUUUUGGAAGGGUGAGACAAGGCUCAUGAAGUGACCAGUCUGAAGACUAGAAACUGUUUCUGAAAGUCUUUGGUGGGAAUGUAACGCUUGCACUGAAGCAUUCAUCUCAGUAGAAAGGUCCUCAGACGCAGUGGUCCUCUCGAAUGGAAGCAUUGCAUUGGGUUGCAGGCCCGGGGAGUUAUCUCAGCACCCUUCUUUUCUCAAAGAGAUCUUUCUUUAACAAAGGCAACCGAUUUAGCCAACAAUGUGGCUUUGAGGCAAGCUCUAAAUUUUCUCAACGUGAAUGUAAUCUUCAUGGUGUGAGCCACAAUAUAUUGUACGGCGUUCAUUGCUGGUGUCUGUAGUAGAGUUGGCAUGAGUGGAGGACUGGCAGUGCAUAUCAACCAGAUAUUAUUGCAUUGUGCUUUCAAUUGUUCGUUGGCAGAGCUGUCUUCAGAAGGUCACAGGGACAUCUUCUUAGCGUCCCCACACUGGUGACUUUAUUUGAAAUGUAAGAUACCAACAGUAGCGCAAGAUUCUUUCCAUGUUGCCCAACCUCCGUUGCUGUCUUCCUUGUUGAAGUGCACUUCCCAGCACUCACUCCUGAUCAGAUGUGUUGGUAGUAGAACCUUAGCAACAGCUGAAGGGCCAUAGAUCAAUGGAGUCAUCC